rnacentral:rRNA from 1 species
AGCAGCCGCGGUAAUUCCAGCUCCAAUAGCGUAUAUUAAAGUUGUUGCAGCUAAAAAGCUCGUAGUUGAAUUUCGGGAUUAGUACGUUGGUCGUGCCUUCGGUACGUACUGGUGUUACUGAUUCCUACCUUCUGACGAACCAUCAUGUCAUUAAUUUGGUGUGGCGGGGAAUCAGGACUGUUACUUUGAAAAAAUUAGAGUGUUUAAAGCAGGCUCGCGCUUGAAUACAUUAGCAUGGAAUAAUGAAAUAGGACGUUGACCCUAUUUUGUUGGUUUCUAGGAUUGACGUAAUGAUUAAUAGGGAUAGUUGGGGGCAUUAGUAUUCAAUUGUCAGAGGUGAAAUUCUUGGAUUUAUUGAAGACUAACUACUGCGAAAGCAUUUGCCAAGGAUGUUUUCAUUAAUCAAGAACGAAAGUUAGGGGAUCGAAGACGAUCAGAUACCGUCGUAGUCUUAACCAUAAACUAUGCCAACUAGGGAUCGGAUGAUGUUAAUUUUUUAAUGACUCAUUCGGCGCCUUACG